rnacentral:rRNA from 1 species
GUCAAAUCAUCAUGCCCUUUAUGUCCUGGGCUACACACGUAAUACAAUGGCGCAGAAACAGAGGGAAGCGAAGGAGCGAUCUGGAGCAAAUCCCCAAAAGGCGUCUCAGUUCGGAUCGCAGGCUGCAACCCGCCUGCGUGAAGUCGGAAUUGCUAGUAAUCGCGGAUCAGCAUGCCGCGGUGAAUACGUUCCCGGGCCUU